UACGUAGGGUGCGAGCGUUGUCCGGAAUUAUUGGGCGUAAAGAGCUCGUAGGCGGUGUGUCACGUCGGCCGUGAAAACCUGCAGCUUAACUGUGGGCGUGCGGUCGAUACGGGCAUCACUGGAGUUCGGCAGGGGAGACUGGAAUUCCUGGUGUAGCGGUGAAAUGCGCAGAUAUCAGGAGGAACACCGGUGGCGAAGGCGCCACUCUGGGCCGGUACUGACGCUGAGGAGCGAAAGCGUGGGUAGCAAACAGG
rnacentral:rRNA from 1 species